AUUGAACGCUGGCGGCGUGCUUAACACAUGCAAGUCGUGCGGUAACAGGCGUAGCAAUACGUGCUGACGAGCGGCGAACGGGUGCGUAAUACAUGGGAAUCUGCCCUUUAGUGGGGAAUAACCCGGCGAAAGCCGGGCUAAUGCCGCAUAAGAUCUUCGGAUGAAAGCGGGGGAGUCGUAAGACCUCGCGCUGAUGGAUGAGCCCACUGUCGGAUUAGCAGUUGGUGAGGUAACGGCUCACCAAGGCGACGAUCCGUAGCUGGUCUGAGAGGACGGCCA
rnacentral:rRNA from 1 species